GCGAUUUGCUAAUGAUCGUAUAGAGACCGGCAAGUCGUGCCGACACCCACGAAGCGAACACACUUUCUUCAAGGCGAGUAAGCCUGCCCUACUUUGGUGUGGCUUGCCCGCCAAUUUUUGGAAGCCCUCAAUCUUCUUUGGGGGCUCACAACACAAUGCAUCAAAUUAUGAAAUAAGUAAAUCUCCAAUGGACUUUUAUAAUAGUGUAGCCCCAUGUCCACUUUGUGUUGCUAUCGGGAUGUGUGUUGGGCCAAGAAAUGUUACGUCGUCUCUUUAGCUUCGUUUUGCUUUGGAUAAAAAAUUGGAAUAAAGUAUGUGAAAAUCUAAGCGCAAAAAUUAGUUGCUGAAAAUAAUCCUCGUAAGUAUAUGUUGGUUGCAUCAGACAGAUGAUUGACCGCUUUUAAAUUGAACAACAAUUUGACAUCUGGGUGGAACAAAGCAAAUUGCGGGACAAAGCCUUUUUGAUCUUAAAUUCUUUUGUCCUUUGAUCUCUGUUCGAGUCAUGCAAAUCUUAGUAAUGCAAGAAUUAAUUAUUCAUAUACUAUUAAUUUUACUGUGGGAUUUGUGCUCAUAAUAAAAUAUCAAUCCAAAGGACUAGACUACAAAAGCUCAACACGUCAAUCCAACAAGGUCAACUAAUCUAAUUGAAGACAUCUACAUAUCAAAGGAUUUAACUACAAAAGCUCAACACGUCAAUCCAACAAGGUCAACUAAUCUAAUUGAAGACGUAGCUACAUCCGAAUGAAACCAAAAAAACAAAAAACUUCCAAUAACAUUAAUACCUUUAUCAGAUAGCAAGUUCACUUCUCAAUGUCAGUAUGCUUAAACUCACAAAUUUUUGAAUUAUUACUACAAAUUGUAAAUUGAACUCUACCACCAACAAAUUACUACAAAUACUAACCAAUUUGACCAUAAUAAAUCAUUAAUUUUUUCUAAUUGAAAGAUAUACAUACAAAAUAAACCGUAUAAUACAGCAAGAAAACAACUAAGACGAAGACGAAGAUGAUUAAUGGAACAGAAUCUCAAUGUAUGAUCCAAUUUUAGGUAGCAAACAGACAACAAAGUGCAAGACUGCAAAAGAAAACAUCUCCAAUCAUCAGCAACAUCAUACACACAUACGAUUUCGCUUUCUUCCUAUCUUUUCCUAAUUCUCACCAAAAUGAAGCCCUUUGUUUAAGAGGCUCUGACUAUUUAUUCAUAUAUUUUCAAAGAACAGUAUCUUGAUCAAAUACUCAUAAAGGUCCUUUAUAGUCUGUUAAAAACUCAAGGAGAUCUCCAAUAUAAUCGGCACCAAAACCAACGGUCGACAGCUUGGCAUUUUGCCUUUUUGAUUUCUGAACACUAAAAAAUGACGAGAACAGAUGCUCUUUAGUGCUGUGUAUUAUUAUAAAUCUCGAUAUGUUAGACUAAACAGCGCAAUUUAUACCAGCAUUCGAAAAAUUGCCAGCCCCAUUCUCUCCAUCUUUAUUUGGUAGAGAUUUUCUUUGACAUCAGAUUGCCUGAUUGAAUGUUUGCCUACAGUGGCCAAUAGAUGAAUUUAGAAUUCACAAUUUAACCCCAAAAGCUAAGCUCAAAAGAUGAGAGUUGCCCAAGCCAUAUCAGGAGGACUCUUCAUAUGUUUGAUGAUAAAACAUUAUUCCAUUAGCUAAGAGAUAUUUGAUGAACUAGAAACCGGUCCUGUCUUUAGCUUGAAAUAAACUUUAGGACUUGAUCUAGAAAACCAUUUUGCUCUUUUACAGCUAGGAAUUAGUAUAAGUAGAAUGACAAAAGUUGAAUUACUCCUAUUAAACUAUAAUGCACAGCAUAUUGAAUAUCAAAGACAAAUCUUGAAUUAUUAGUUUCCACCCCCACCCCCACCCCCACCCCACAAAAAAACCAUCUUUUACACUCCCAAAAGGGCAAAAGAGAGUACCACUCAAGCAAUUAGACCAUUCAAGAAAACAUGGAUGAUGGAAUUGGCAACAUUUGAGAAUAUUCACCAACUUUACAAGACAACCAAAUUAACAAAUCUCAAUAUAUGAUCAAAUAUUAGUCAAGACAAAGAAACAACAAAGUGCAAAACUUAAAAAGCCAUCUCCAAUAAUCAUCAACACCAUCAUCAUAUAUACAAAUUCACUUUCUUCCUAUCCUUUUCAUAACCUAAAGCUGCUACCAAAAUCAAGCCAUUUCUCUAAAAGGCUAAUAAAAAACCAUAUCCUUUCCUUUUUCCUUUCUCCAGUUAGCACACUUUGAUUAUUUCUUAAUAACCCUAAAAAAAGCUUAUACUAAAAGCUACAAAAAAGAGGGUUAGGGUUUUAAUACUGACUAUUAGUGCUGAUGGCUGCUUUAAGCAAAAACAGAGCCACAAGAGAGAGCCAUUAAAAGAAGAGCAGCUCUUUCAACUUCACCAAGUUUCCUUUGAUUUCUUGGCUUCUUCAUUGAUGAUCUCUGCCUCUGUAGUAUCACUACUUCUUUCCCCAACAUCAUCAAUUUCACCCUCAAUACUUUGCUUAGCUGCUUCCCAUCUUUCCCAUUUCCAAUUUUAUCCUUUUUGCAGUAAGCCAGAUCAUCACUACUAGUGUUGGAAACGGGUUUCUCUUUCUUCUUCGUUGGCCCCUUUUUCUUCCUGUAUUUGAUCCCACAAGCAUUACACAGCGACUGCAAUUAAGUAAAUCAUCAAUGCGAAUUAGAAUUAGCAAUCGAAACUCAAAACCCAGAUCAAAAAUCGUUGAUUAUGAUGGAAAAUGAGUUUAAUUAGCAGUCAAAACUUAAAACCCAGAUCAGAAAUCGUUAAUUACGACAGAAAAGUGAGUUUAAUUAACUUACUUUAGGGCCAGAUGGACCAGAUCUCCAUAAGGGUGUCUUCGUAGUUUUGCAAUCAGAGCAAGAUUUUGUACUCCCACUUGUUUCAUCGCCCGAACAUUCUUCCUAUAGCCAAAGAAAAAGACACGAACUUAUACGAAGAAGAGUAAAACCACAAUGCUGGCAAAUUGAUUAUGAACAGAGUGUUAAUUUACCUUUUUGAUCGGAUCCAUGAACUUAAAACUCGUCAAAAACAGAACUCAAAAUGGCAAUUAGGGGAAAUCUGCAGUGGGUUUUCCUACUGAAACGAACAGCAUAGAAAAACCCAACAAACAGGGAAAAGAAAAUUAAAGAAAAAUAUGGAAGAAUUUUGAGAAGGAAAAAGAAAAAGGGAAAAAAGAAAUUGAUAAUGCGCAGGUGUGUUUUGCAGUGAUGAGAGUGAGGUGGCUGAUGUAAUCAUAUAAAGGGUACACAGCAAAUAAGAAAGUGGAAUCAACCCUAAUUUCUAGCUAUGAAAUGACAGAAAUACCCUUGAAUUUUGCUUUUGAAGGAAAGACCGUCAAAUUGAUGCUAUAUAUGUUUGCCACGUGUCAACCUGCAUGCACCAGAGGCCACACAGCUGCUUCCAUUACGGGUGUGUUUGGUCUUAGAAAAUUAUUGACUUAUAUAUUUUGAAAAAUAUUUUUUAAAUUAAUUUAUUUUUUUAAAAUUUAAGAAAAAAUGAUUUUCCUUCAAAUUUUUAAAAAUUCACUUUCAACCUUAUUUUGAAGUUGAAAUAUUCAUACAAUUAUCAAAGUCAUCUACUUUACUUCUAAUAUUCUAUCACCCCGACACCAUCCCUAUCCCCCAAAAUUCAAUUGUUUUAAAAAGUAUUUUAAAUUUUUUUCUUAGUUCAUCCCCUACCCCUACCCCCACCCCAUCCCUCUCCUUACCAGCUCCCUUCCAAAAAUAAUAUUUACAUUUUAUUAAAAAAUUUAAACUUUUUUCUUACCCCCUCCUACCUGACCCUCUACCCCCUACCAACCUCCCGCCCCCUCUCUCAAAAAUAAUUUAUUUUAAUUUAUUUUAAAAAAAAUUUCAAUCCAUUUCUUACCCCACCAUCAUUCCCCUACCCACACCCCGCACUCACCCGUCAAUUUUUUUAAAAAAAAUUAAGAAGAAAAAUUUUUAAAAAUUUCUUACCCCACCCCUACUGGCUAUUCUGACACCCCCAUUCACCCGUCUACCCACUCAUUACCUAAAAAGGAUUUAAUUUUUUUAAUUUAUUUUUUUAAAAAACAUUCUAAAAUGUACUUUUACGCUUUAGGUAAAUACUAAAAUGUAUUUUUUGAAAAAUAUUUUUUCAUUCACCAACCAAAUAUUAAAAAAUAUUUUUUGAAAAAUAUUUUUCAUCCACCAAGCAAACAUAAGAAAACAAGUAAGAAAUCAACUUGUUUUCCAAGAAAAUAUUUUGUAGAAAAAUAUUUUCCAUGUAAAACAUUUUUCUUCAUACCAAACACACCCUACAUUUUAUGUAUAGUAAAAUAGAUGAAAUAAAUUGUUAGAUAUAUUAUUUGGGAUACGAAAAUUAAAAAAUAUUCUUAGAUAUUCUUAUUUUUUUUGUUAAUAUUCUUAGAUAUUUAAAAUUUCUUAAACAGAUUUUAUACAAUAAUAUAAGAUAGAUAAAUUAAACAAAAAAGAAUAGCUAUAAAGAAAAGGAAAAGAAAAGAAAGAAGCUACUAAAGGUGAUAAAAACAAGUUCUAAAGUAGUACUACCGAGAUUUAGAGAAAAUUGUUUCUUUUUUCAUCUAAAUAAUUUAAUUUGAUAUUUAUAUUAAAAUUUAAUUAAUUUAAAUUUGUGAUAAAUAAACAUUUCUUUUCUAUUUCUUUUCUUUUCUAUUAUAUAGAAGAGGUGGUUUCGACCAUCUCUCAUACAAUUUUUAAAAAACUCCUCCACUCCCAUUUAAUUACAUAUCAUACCUCAAUAUAUAAUAAUUUCAUUGUUUCAUCAUUUCUAUUAUAUAAAAGAGGUAGUUUCGACCAUCUCUCAUGCAAUUUUAAGAAAACUCCUCACUCCCAUUUAAUUACAUAUCAUACCUCAAUAUAUAAUAAUUCCAUUGUUUCAUCAUAAUAAUUUAAAUAUUUAAUAUAUUUUAUUAAUUUAUAUUAAUUAACUAUAACUACAUUUUGGAAGUAAAUUUUUUUUUAUUUAUUUAAUUGGCUAUCAUGUUCAAAAUUAAUUUAUUACCACGAAUCACAAUAAUUAAUAACUUAAAAUAUUUAAAAUACGUAUAGAAAUUUUACUAACUCUCAUUAUUUUAGCUAUGCCACAUAUAUUGAAAGAAAAGAAAAAGUACUGCAAAUCAUAAUAAUUAACAACUUAAAAUAUUUAAAAGAUAUAUAAAAAUUUAAGUUGAUUCUCAAAAUUGUAUCGAAUCCACGUAAAUUGGGACACAAAGUGUAAAUAUAUUAUUUGAUAAUUACGCAAAAAUUAUUAUAAAUCACAAUAAUUAAUAAGUUAAAAUACUUUUUUAAAAAUAGAUAAAAGUUCUAUUCAACUUUCAAAAUUUUAUCGGUGCACCAUAAAUCAUGACAAAAUAAAAAUUAUCUUAAUUAAUUGCAACUAAAUAUUUAAAGUAAAUCAAUUUUAUUAUUUUAAUAGACUUUUAUAUAGAAAAUUAAUUUUUUAAAGUACAAAAUUAAUAAAUUUAAUUUAAUAAAAUAAAUUUAUAAUGAAUAUUUUCUUAGAAUUUGUGUUGGUCAAUAUGUAUCAAGUUAAAAAGAAAUAAAGAAAAAUAUAUAUAAAAUUUUAUUAUUGUGAAAGAUAAAAAUAAUGCACUAUCCAAUAAUAUCAUAUUUUGCAUAUGCAAAUAUAGCAUCCCAUAUUUAAUUAAUAUACUAUUUCGGUGAAUUAUCGAUGAUUACUAUUGGAUAUGAUAAAAUUAUAUUAAUUUUUAUGGUAAUAACAUAAUCAAACGCUCUUAAUUAAUUAUUAUGUGUCAUCUAGGUAUUAAGAAAAUAAAUAUUGUUUAAUGAAAAAUAAAAUAGACAUAAAAUGCCAAACUAACUCUUAAUGUUUUAAAUUAAUUUUUUGUCUUUCGAACGAUGAUUUUACUAUAUCACUCCUUAUUAUAAGUCAUUUAUGUACAGAGGCGGAUCCAGGAUUCUAAGGUACCGGGUGUCAUGCCGUUCAAGUAGGAUUUGUGAGUCGAUUUUUUAAAUUUUGGGUUACAAUUUGAAUUAUUUAUCAUUUUUUUAUUUUAUAAGCAAAUCGAUCAAAUACGUCUACUGAGUUAUGCUCUUUUUUUAGAUAUUUUGAGAUUAAAAACUCCUAAGUAGUUUAAUUUUUUUUUCGAUAUAAGAGGUCUUAUUCUUCAAAACUUUGAGAGAGAAAAAGAGAUUUUUCAUGUUAAAAAUUUAUAUAAACCAUAUGAUACAGUUAUCUUAAUAUAUUCAUAUUCCAUUACCUAAAAUGUUGAGAGUGUUGUUGCAGAUAUAUAAUUUGAAAGAAUUAAAAAUUAUAUCGUCAACUUAAUCAUCUUCGCUUAGUUUAAACGGUCGAAAAGUUUAAAUUUUAAUAUCUCUAACAUAAUAAUAUCCAUAAUUUUAUAGCCUUGAACUUUUUAAAAAAAUUUAAUAUGUUCUUUAUAAUAUUUAUGUAACGUUUAAGAUUUAAUACUCAUUAAUUCACACAAAUACACAUGAAACACUAGUUUCAAGAGAUUAAUCAAGAGAAAGUUUUAGAAAAGCAAGAAUUAAUUAAAGAAAAAUAACCCAUUUAAAUUACUCAAUAAAAAUAGCAAGUAAACGAAAUUAAUGAAAAAUCCUAAAAAGUGGAAUAAAAAGACAACUAAACCCUUGACACACAUCUAACGAAAGACACAAAAACAAAGUGGGGGUGGCUGAAGUGCUGAGCAACUUCCCUUGUGCAAGCAAGGGAAGGAGACAAAAAUUACAAUGCUCAUUGAGAGGGAUUCAGUCCCUGGUCUGCAGGGCGGUAUUCUCUACCUAUUGCCAGUGGCACUAGCUGCCACUUUUUACAUGGGGUGACAAGUAUAUUAUAUAUUCAAUUCUUCUGCAUUAUAUGCAUAUAUAUAUAUAUAUAUAGUGUCUCAAUCGAGAUUUGUGGGUGCCGUGCCACCCCCACGAGUACACAUAGAUCCACCCGUGUUUAUGUAUUAGAAAAAUAAGAAUAACAAAAUGAUAUGUCAACAUAAAAUAUUUGAUUGACCAUCAAAAUUAUAUUAGUGCCACAUAAAUUAAAACAGGACAGAAGAAGAUAUAAAACAACAUAUAUUAUUUGAAAAUGAAAUAAAAAGUAUUGUAAAUAACAAUAAUUAACCAAAAAAAAUUUUAAAAUUGCCUGAUUUUUGCUGCUUCAAUCGUGAUUUUAAUGUAUCACCCGCAAUUAAUUAUUAUAAGUCACUUAUGUAUUGAAAAAUUAAUAAUAUUGAAUCUACGAUUUUACUAUAUAUUAUAUACUAUGAAUAAAAAAUUUCAUGGUAUUUUAAAAAAAAAAUAAAAAUUACUACAUAUACUCAAAGGGCAAAAGAGUAAAAACACACAAGAGAUAAAUGUAGAGAAAUCAAGAAGCACCAAAUGGAUUAUUAACAUUCAACACAUUUUUAAAUGUUUUCAAAUUCUUCUGGAAUCAACACAUACACAUAAUAAAAAUAAUAAAUAAUAAUAAUUACAUUUUACUAUAUCACCCCUAAUUAAUUAUUAUGAUUAUUUAAGCAUUGUGCCGUAUAAGUUGAAAUAGAAAAAUAUUAUAAAUCACAAUGAUAAAAAAUUUAAAUUAUUUUAAAAAAUAUAAUUGACUAUCGUCAACACAAAACUCUAGACAAGGGGAAUAACAUAUAUUAUUCAAAAAUUACAUAAAAAGUAUUAUAAAUUCUAAUAGUUAACAACUUAAAAUAUCUAAAAAUAAUUUAAUAUGUUAUAUAUUUCAAAAAAAUUACAUGAAAAAUACUAGAAAUCACAAUAAUUAACAACUUAAAAAAUUUAAAAGAUAUAAAAUAUUUGGUCGACUCUUAAAAUUAUAUUAGUGUCGCUAAAAUUAGAAUAGAAGAAAAGUAUUAUAAAUCACAAUAAUUAAAAAUUUAAAUUAUUUUUAAAAUAUAAUUGACUAUCAAUGCCACAAAAAUUUGAACAAGAAAAGUACCGUUUAUUAAUUUGAAAAUUACAUAAAAGAUAUUAUAUAUUACAAUAGUUAACAACUUAAAUUAUCUAAAUACAUAUUAAAAUAACAUAUGUUGAACUCGUGCUAGAUUCCAGUUGAAUCCUAGAAAACAUAUGCAAUCCUUUUAUUAAAAUUUUUUAUUUAAAUAUAUCAAGAUUGAAAGAUAAAUAAAUAUUUUAAUGUUGGACCCGUGCUGACACGGGUCAUACUCCUCUAGUCUAUUCAUACUUCAGAGAUAACAAUAGCUCCUUAUUAAAAAUUAUCUUAUUUGUAAUUAAAAUUAGGCCAAAAUACAUAAAGUAACAUAUCUAUGUAUUAAAUUAUAAAAAAUAACACUAGUUUUAUGAAAUUACAUUUCAUAGCAUUUAUGGCAUAUUUUUAUUGUGUUUCUCUUUUUUUUACCGCAUUGGAAAAGUAACCUUCAGUUACCCCUCUUUUCACGUCACUAUUCCUUCUCUCUCCAUUUUUAAAAGAUAUUUUCUCAUUUUUUCCGCCAUUAACAAAAACUUCCAGAUUCACUUUUACUUUCUUUUGCACGAUUUUAGCUAUAUCAAAUCUUCAUAUAUUUCAGGCGACACUUAAUUUAUCUAUUUCAUGUUUUUUUGGGGAGAUUUUUCGACUCUAACACAUCUCAAAAUCAGAUUUUUUUUUAAAUUUUAAUGGAUGAACAAACACUAGAAUCACAAAAUAAAACUACUGGCAUACGAAAUUUAAAUUUGGUUUCAGAUUGUGGACCAUCUUUUAGUAUCGGCUUAACUCAAGAAGAAGUUGUUAAACUUGUUUCAUCUUCUUUACAGUUUAAGAAAUCUCACAGAUCGAAGGAUAUUGGGUCAAAAUUUUGCAACGAUCCGGUUAAGAUGACAGAAAUUAUGAAAAAAAAAGGCUGCAGAAAAAGC
rnacentral:lncRNA from 1 species